rnacentral:rRNA from 1 species
GACGAACGCUGGCGGCGUGCUUAACACAUGCAAGUCGAACGGAAAGGCCCUGCUUUUGUGGGGUGCUCGAGUGGCGAACGGGUGAGUAACACGUGAGUAACCUGCCCUUGACUUUGGGAUAACUUCAGGAAACUGGGGCUAAUACCGGAUAGGAGCUCCUGCUGCAUGGUGGGGGUUGGAAAGUUUCGGCGGUUGGGGAUGGACUCGCGGCUUAUCAGCUUGUUGGUGGGGUAGUGGCUUACCAAGGCUUUGACGGGUAGCCGGCCUGAGAGGGUGACCGGCCACAUUGGGACUGAGAUACGGCCCAGACUCCUACGGGAGGCAGCAGUGGGGAAUAUUGCACAAUGGGCGGAAGCCUGAUGCAGCAACGCCGCGUGCGGGAUGACGGCCUUCGGGUUGUAAACCGCUUUCGCCUGUGACGAAGCGUGAGUGACGGUAAUGGGUAAAGAAGCACCGGCUAACUACGUGCCAGCAGCCGCGGUGAUACGUAGGGCGCGAGCGUUGUCCGGAUUUAUUGGGCGUAAAGGGCUCGUAGGUGGUUGAUCGCGUCGGAAGUGUAAUCUUGGGGCUUAACCCUGAGCGUGCUUUCGAUACGGGUUGACUUGAGGAAGGUAGGGGAGAAUGAAAUUCCUGGUGGAGCGGUGGAAUGCGCAGAUAUCAGGAGGAACACCAGUGGCGAAGGCGGUUCUCUGGGCCUUUCCUGACGCUGAGGAGCGAAAGCGUGGGGAGCGAACAGGCUUAGAUACCCUGGUAGUCCACGCUGUAAACGGUGGGUACUAGGUGUGGGGUCCAUUCCACGGGUUCCGUGCCGUAGCUAACGCUUUAAGUACCCCGCCUGGGGAGUACGGCCGCAAGGCUAAAACUCAAAGGAAUUGACGGGGCCCCGCACAAGCGGCGGAGCAUGCGGAUUAAUUCGAUGCAACGCGUAGAACCUUACCUGGGUUUGACAUGGAUCGGGAGUGCUCAGAGAUGGGUGUGCCUCUUUUGGGGUCGGUUCACAGGUGGUGCAUGGCUGUCGUCAGCUCGUGUCGUGAGAUGUUGGGUUAAGUCCCGCAACGAGCGCAACCCUUGUUCACUGUUGCCAGCACGUUAUGGUGGGGACUCAGUGGAGACCGCCGGGGUCAACUCGGAGGAAGGUGGGGAUGACGUCAAGCCAUCAUGCCCCUUAUGUCCAGGGCUUCACGCAUGCUACAAUGGCUGGUACAGAGAGUGGCGAGCCUGUGAGGGUGAGCGAAUCUCGGAAAGCCGGUCUCAGUUCGGAUUGGGGUCUGCAACUCGACCUCAUGAAGUCGGAGUCGCUAGUAAUCGCAGAUCAGCAACGCUGCGGUGAAUACGUUCCCGGGGCU